rnacentral:tRNA from 1 species
GGAAGGGUGCGAGAGUGGUUAAAUCGGCCGGUCUCGAAAACCGGAAUACCCUCCGGGGUAUCGAGGGUUCGAAUCCCUCCCCUUCCGCCA